GACGAACGCUGGCGGCGUGCUUAACACAUGCAAGUCGAACGGCAAGGCCCUGCUUUUGUGGGGUGCUCGAGUGGUGAACGGGUGAGUAACACGUGAGUAACCUGCCCUUGACUUUGGGAUAACUUCAGGAAACUGGGGCUAAUACCGGAUAGGAGCUCCUGCUGCAUGGUGGGGGUUGGAAAGUUUCGGCGGUUGGGGAUGGACUCGCGGCUUAUCAGCUUGUUGGUGGGGUAGUGGCUUACCAAGGCUUUGACGGGUAGCCGGCAUGAGAGGGUGACCGGCCACAUUGGGACUGAGAUACAGCCCAGACUCCUACGGGAGGCAGCAGUGGGGAAUAUUGCACAAUGGGCGGAAGCCUGAUGAAGCAACGCCGCGUGCGGGAUGACGGCCUUCGGGUUGUAAACCGCUUUCGCCUGUGACGAAGCGUGAGUGACGGUAAUGGGUAAAGAAGCACCGGCUAACUACGUG
rnacentral:rRNA from 1 species